UCUUUAUUAAGCAACUUUUUUAUGUUUAGAACUCUUUAUGGCUGAAUCUGGUUAGGCACAUUUUCAGUUCAGUUUUGCCGUAUAGUUAUCUUCUGAUGGCUGCAUGCAGCUUUUCACCCUUCAGUAAGGAGUCCUUUAUUUGUUGUAGAUCCUUGUCACCCAUGAGUGAUGGACGCUGUAUGGUUAUGCAGUGCUGCUGGUGUGAAGUUUGCAGAUAUUCAGUUAUAAAAUAUUUGUGGUUCAUCAGUUCCUUUUGUGCAUGUUGUCAAGAAUGUGUCAUAUGAGCCAAGAUUCAAACGCUUCUGGAUGUGAAUUUGACAAAACGGAUCAUCUUAGUAGGAUGAGUGUCCUGAAGAAUCGGAAGAUGCUGCAAAACAUGAUGAUGUGAUACUGCCAUGCUAUUUCUACUGGUCUCUCUGCUAGUGCCUUAUCGCUCGUUCACCAAUCUCCAUCCUCACCAUGGUCUCUGUACUCAACAAGGGUGAACUCUACAAGUUCUAGUAGGCUCCUCGGUGACUCCUCACAGGAGAGCUUUUGGCCUGAUCUGAUGGAGCUGAGAGGUCAAAGGAAGAAGUCAAACCUGAAGAAGUGCAGGGAGGAAAUUACAGCUGCGUGUGUCCGGCUGGUUCAGGGGAUGUGCAGGGCGGCCGUAGCCAUGCGGGUGUCGAGGCAGGCGAUCUCGCGGAUGGAUGCCAUGCUGCGAGGGUAGGUUCCUGGGCGCCCGCUACGUUGAUGACGGAUUCCACGCUGCGAGCGGCAACAAUCGGCGACAAUCGGCGAUGGCGAUCGUGCAGGGAGGCGACGGUGUUGGCGGGCGGCAUCUGGUGCGGUGGUGACUCAAGGCAGACAAACGUCGAGGUCAAGGGCGAGGGAGCAGAUUUGAUUGAGUUCCCUUAGUUUGCGAUUUGAUUGCGUGAUUGUAGGGAAACACGGGAGGGAG